GAAAUGCGAUAAGUAAUGUGAAUUGCAGAAUUCAGUGAAUCAUCGAAUCUUUGAACGCACAUUGCGCCCGGCAGCAAUCUGCCGGGCAUGCCUGUCCGAGCGUCAUUUCUGCCCUCGAGCGCGGUUCGGCCCCUAGCGGGCCGGCCGCCGCCCGGUGUUGGGGUGCUGCGGGCCCUCGUGCCCGCAGGCCCUGAAAUGAAGUGGCGGUCCCGCCGCGGCGCCCCCUGCGUAGUAGUAAAGCACCUCGCAUCGGGUCCCGGCGGAGGCCAGCCGUCGAACCUCUCUUUUGAUGGUUUGACCUCGGAUCAGGUAGGGUUACCCGCUGAACUUAAGC
rnacentral:misc_RNA from 1 species